GGUAGCUCAGUUGGUAGAGCACAAGACUCUUUAUCUCAAGGCCGUGGGUUCAAGUCCUGUGUUGGGCA